rnacentral:rRNA from 1 species
GGAAUAUUGCACAAUGGGCGAAAGCCUGAUGCAGCGACGCCGCGUGAGGGAUGACGGCCUUCGGGUUGUAAACCUCUUUCAGUAGGGAACAAGGCCAGCAUUUUUGUUGGUUGAGGGUACUUGCAGAAGAAGCGCCGGCUAACUACGUGCCAGCAGCCGCGGUAAUACGUAGGGCGCAAGCGUUAUCCGGAAUUAUUGGGCGUAAAGAGCUCGUAGGCGGUUUGUCGCGUCUGCCGUGAAAGUCCGGGGCUCAACUCCGGAUCUGCGGUGGGUACGGGCAGACUAGAGUGAUGUAGGGGAGACUGGAAUUCCUGGUGUAGCGGUGAAAUGCGCAGAUAUCAGGAGGAACACCGAUGGCGAAGGCAGGUCUCUGGGCAUUAACUGACGCUGAGGAGCGAAAGCAUGGGGAGCGAACAGGAUUAGAUACCCUUG